AGCUGUGGUGUAAUCAGUACAGUCUGUAUACUGAUUCAGUUGAUAUAUUUCUGACUAUUGAUAUGCACUCUUCUUCUUUUUUCUUACUGCUCUCUCUGUCUUUCUUCACUUUUUUUCUUUUACAAUCUUCUUCAGUGCUCUCUUCUCUCUCUCUUCUCAGAUUUGUGUUGGAUUAUAUGACUGUAAAAUGUUACAGAUGACACAGUUCUUUCUUCACUCUUCUCUUUAUUUUUCUUUUCAGAAUACUCACUUUUUCUCUUUUCUUUUAUCUAUCUCAUCUAUUUUUUUUCUGUUGUUAGAAGCAUAGACAGUUCUCAGAUCAAUUGAGAGAAUUAUCUCUCUUCAUUUACUAUAAAAUCUUUCAGACACAGCAGCAGUGGUUUUCUUGAGAGCCACACUAUAGUCUUAUCAUGAAUGAUCAUAUGUUAAA
rnacentral:sRNA from 1 species